GCUUCCAUGGUGAAAUUGGUAUACACGGCAGAUUCAAAAUCUUUUGUCUUUUGGCAUGCUGGUUCAAAUCCAGCUGGAAGCA
rnacentral:tRNA from 5 species